GGGGGCGAUACGGUUUCGACGGGGAUGCGGAGAUUCGUGCGGCGUGUCGGGGGUUCCAGUGACCUCGUUAAAACUGCGGGAACUUUACAAUUGCCAACGAUAACGUUGAGCUCGCUCUCGCUGCCUAAUUAAGCAGUGAUAGCACAAGAACCUUCGGGUUCCGUCUCUGCAGGUCCUGCCUGUGGAUUUGCAGCGGCGUCAAUUUACAGGCUGGCUAAGGGAUAGUCAUGGCUGAGGACGAUCCGGCGGCGAGAUUAAAUCUACGGCCACUUUAAACAGGCCUGUCUUUGGGCUUUGUUUAGAGUCAUUGUACAAAGACUACACACGUAGAAGGGCGAAAUUGAAGAUUUUCGGACGCGGGUUCGACUCCCGCCGCCUCCAUUC
rnacentral:tmRNA from 1 species